GCCGCGUGUGUGAAGAAGGCCUUUUGGUUGUAAAGCACUUUAAGCAGUGAAGAAGACCUAACGGUUAAUACCCGUUAGCGAUGACAUUAGCUGCAGAAUAAGCACCGGCUAACUCUGUGCCAGCAGCCGCGGUAAUACAGAGGGUGCAAGCGUUAAUCGGAAUUACUGGGCGUAAAGCGAGCGUAGGUGGCUUGAUAAGUCAGAUGUGAAAUCCCCGGGCUUAACCUGGGAACUGCAUCUGAUACUGUUAAGCUAGAGUAGGUGAGAGGGAAGUAGAAUUCCAGGUGUAGCGGUGAAAUGCGUAGAGAUCUGGAGGAAUACCGAUGGCGAAGGCAGCUUCCUGGCAUCAUACUGACACUGAGGUUCGAAAGCGUGGGUAGCAAACAGGAUUAGAUACCCUGGUAGUCCACGCCGUAAACGAUGUCUACUAGUCGUUGGGUCCCUUGAGGACUUAGUGACGCAGCUAACGCAAUAAGUAGACCGCCUGGGGAGUACGGCCGCAAGGUUAAAACUCAAAUGAAUUGACGGGGGCCCGCACAAGCGGUGGAGCAUGUGGUUUAAUUCGAUGCAACGCGAAGAACCUUACCUGGUCUUGACAUACACAGAAUCUUGUAGAGAUACGAGAGUGCCUUCGGGAAUUGUGAUACAGGUGCUGCAUGGCUGUCGUCAGCUCGUGUCGUGAGAUGUUGGGUUAAGUCCCGCAACGAGCGCAACCCUUGUCCUUAGUUACCAGCGGGUUAAGCCGGGAACUCUAAGGAUACUGCCAGUGACAAACUGGAGGAA
rnacentral:rRNA from 1 species